rnacentral:rRNA from 1 species
AUUGAACGCUGGCGGCAGGCCUAACACAUGCAAGUCGAACGAGUGGCGGACGGGUGAGUAAUGUCUGGGCAACUGCCUGAUGGAGGGGGAUAACUACUGGGAACUGUAGCUAAUACCGCAUACCAUCAGAUGUGCCCAGAUGGGAUUAGCGUGUUGGUGGGGUAAAGGCUCACAUAGGCGACGAUCCCUAGCUGGUCUGAGAGGAUGAACAGCCACACGGGAACGGAGACACGGUCCAGACUCCUACGGGAGGCAGCAGUGGGGAAUAUUGCACAAUGGGCGCAAGCCUGAUGCAGCCAUGCCGCGUGUAUGAAGAAGGCCGUCGGGUUGUAAAGUACUUUCAGCUGGGAGGCGUUACCCGCAGAAUAAGCACCGGCUAACUCCGUGCCAGCAGCCGCGGUAAUAC